GCUGUCUAAAAAAGGAAAUUCAGUGUCAGUGUUCAUGAGCAGAACUGCUGGUGCAGAAGAACAAAGCUAUCUCAGUUGUUUAGGGUAGCAGGAGUGAUGAGCAAGCAAGCACACUCCCAUGCUUUCAGGAGAAAAUGCUGCAAAGAAAGGAGGGAGAAGAAGAAUGACUUUUUCCUUUAGAAAAGGAUACCUUGCUGCUUCAAGAGAACCACAAGGAACUCAAUCUAUAUUUGUUAAAAUGGAGACCAGCAACAUGUUCUUCUAAUACAACAGAGGAAAGGGCAAAUGUCCAGGUUUCCUAGAGAGGGUUCAGUUUUGAGAAAUUUGAUUUGGGUCCUGAACACAAGAUCUCCUGUGGGUGAAUGUCUUCACUCGUGGCUGCUCACAGAUCGAUGAGAGCAAAUUGUUUGAGGACUUCUGAGUAAUGAUAAAAGGGAAGGGAACCUGCUCUUUAAGAAUCUCAAGCAACUACAGGGAAAGUGUGAAAACAGAUUUGUUUGUGCAGCUCUUAGUAGAAGUGGGGAAUGUGAAGAAUGUCCUUCAGAAUUGCAGAUGAGUAAUUGCUCAACAGCCAGAAUUUCAGUAACUUUGAAAAUCUUCCUUGAACAGAAAUUCAGCCUGGGGUGAAUCACUGGUCACUGGAGUGAAUCUGGAGUUUUUGGUGGUUUUUCUUGGUUGGCUGGGCUUUGCCAGUGACUGCGCUGUACAUGAGGGAAAACAUCUACCUUAGAUGGUAUCUUCUG